rnacentral:tRNA from 1 species
ACUUGAAUAGCUUAUUUUAGAGCGCGACGCUGAAGAUGUCGAUGAGGUUUUUAGACCUUUAAGUA